UACAGAGGGUGCGAGCGUUAAUCGGAAUUACUGGGCGUAAAGCGCACGUAGGCGGCUUGGUAUGUCGGGUGUGAAAUCCCCGGGCUCAACCUGGGAACUGCAUCCGAAACUGCCUUGCUCGAGUAUGGGAGAGGGAAGUGGAAUUUCCGGUGUAGCGGUGAAAUGCGUAGAUAUCGGAAGGAACACCGGUGGCGAAGGCGGCAUCCUGGACCGGCAUUGACGCUGAGGAGCGAAAGCCAGGGGAGCAAACGGG
rnacentral:rRNA from 1 species